GUGUGUGAGAAGUGUAGGAGCUGGGAAUCCCCUCCUUGGGAUGUUCCAUCGGGCUGGACGUGGCGGGGCACUUCAGGCUGGAGAAAACCCUGUGCCCUUGGAGAAAAUUGUUUCCCCUCUUCCUACAGGGAAUCCAGAGCCUGAGCAGCAGCUGUGAAGAGUGGAGAUAAAGAAAGAAGUGGAAGAUGUUGGAAGCGCUUUGGGCAACGUGAAGAAGGAUUUGCACUGAAGGAGCUGUUCAAGGGCCCAGCCGCAAAACAGAGACACAUACAUGCUUAUAUAUAGAAGAAUGUAAACCCUCCUGUAUGCAUACGUUAAAA